rnacentral:misc_RNA from 1 species
GAUGAAGAACGUAGCGAAAUGCGAUAAGUAGUGUGAAUUGCAGAAUUCCGUGAAUCAUCGAAUCUUUGAACGCACAUUGCGCCCGCCAGUAUUCUGGCGGGCAUGCCUGUUCGAGCGUCAUUACAACCCUCAGGCCCCCGGGCCUGGCGUUGGGGAUCGGCGGAGCCCCCCGUGGGCACACGCCGUCCCCCAAAUGCAGUGGCGGUCCCGCCGCAGCUUCCAUCGCGUAGUAGCUAACACCUCGCGACUGGAGAGCGGCGCGGCCACGCCGUAAAACACCCAACUCUUCUGAAGUUGACCUCGAAUCAGGUAGGAAUACCCGCUGAACUUAAGCAUAUCAAUAAGCGGAGGA